GUUGAGGUAUAUUCCAAUGGAGCUUUUCCUGUAGCUGCAUGCCAUUGGAAACUCCUCAUAGACUAACUCUGUGGUUUUGCUUUACUCACGGGACCAUUAGUUAGAUCUGUGGGAAGGAACUACAAGACAGUU
ensembl:snoRNA